AUAUUGGACAAUGGGCGAAAGCCUGAUCCAGCAAUGCCGCGUGAGUGAUGAAGGCCCUAGGGUUGUAAAGCUCUUUCAGUGGGGAAGAUAAUGACGGUACCCACAGAAGAAGCCCCGGCUAACUUCGUGCCAGCAGCCGCGGUAAUACGAAGGGGGCUAGCGUUGUUCGGAAUUACUGGGCGUAAAGCGCACGUAGGCGGAUACUUAAGUUAGGGGUGAAAUCCCGGGGCUCAACCCCGGAACUGCCCUUGAUACUGGGUAUCUCGAGUUCGAGAGAGGUGAGUGGAAUUCCGAGUGUAGAGGUGAAAUUCGUAGAUAUUCGGAGGAACACCAGUGGCGAAGGCGGCUCACUGGCUCGAUACUGACGCUGAGGUGCGAAAGCGUGGGGAGCAAACAGG
rnacentral:rRNA from 1 species